GAUGAACGCUGGCGGCGUGCCUAAUACAUGCAAGUCGAGCGAACGGACGAGAAGCUUGCUUUUCUGAUGUUAGCGGCGGACGGGUGAGUAACACGUGGAUAACCUACCUAUAAGACUGGGAUAACUUCGGGAAACCGGAGCUAAUACCGGAUAAUAUUUUGAACCGCAUGGUUCAAAAGUGAAAGACGGUCUUGCUGUCACUUAUAGAUGGAUCCGCGCUGCAUUAGCUAGUUGGUAUGGUAACGGCUUACCAAGGCAACGAUGCAUAGCCGACCUGAGAGGGUGAUCGGCCACACUGGAACUGAGACACGGUCAAUACUCCUAAGGGAGGCAGCAGUCGGGAAUCUUCGGCAAUGGGCGAAAGCCUGACGUAGCAACGCCGCGUGAGUGAUGGGGAUCUUCGGAUCGUAAAGCUCUGUUAUUAGGUAUGAACAGAUGUGUAAGUAAAUGUGCACAUCUUGACGGUACCGAAUCAGAAAGCAACGGCUAACUACGUG
rnacentral:rRNA from 1 species